GUCUAUUAUUCCUUUCUCCCAUUUUGUUACUGAUCAUAAUCACUAGUACCACCGAUCAAGCGGCCGCCCUUGCUCAGCCGCAGCCAGCAGCUGAUCAUCUGCUAAGCCACUUCUGUUCAAACCACAAAGGUAACUACACCACGACGGGUGCCUAUCGCACAAACCUUAACCACCUUCUCUCAUCCCUUCCCUUCAAGGGUAGCGGCAACGGCUUUUAUAGUUCUUCAUAUGGCCGAAACACUACAUCCGGCGCAAUAUAUGCAAUCGGACUAUGUAAAGGAGACAUUGGAACCACGCGCCACUGCCUUCGUUGCCUCAAUACCUCUAGAAGUGCUCUCAUGGAGCUUUGUGCCAAUCAGAAGGAAGCUAUUGUUUGGUACGACAACUGCAUGCUGCGCUACUCAAACCGCUCCCUAUAUGGCGUCAUGGACACGCUGCCUGCUUUCGAUUUGUGGAGCACUCAAAGCGUACCAUCAUCGGAGUUUGAUGUAUUUUUCCGGCAGCUCAGGUGGUUACUAGAAGCCCUAAGAAACAAAGCUGCGAAAGGGGGUUCUCUUAAGUUUGCGAAAAAUAACGCAACCAUUCUCAACUAUAGUAACGGACUGUCUUCCUUAACGGCACUUGUGCACUGCACCCCUGAUUUGUAAUAACCUCAUCUUCCACUUACUAGUUAUUGAAUUUUCUGGUUUUAUCACAAAUUUAUAGUGGCAAAUACUUUGUUUAAAAAAAUUGAGGUGUGCUCUUUGUGUUUCAAGCAUUAAGAGAGGUAGUGCGACACUAGUUGUAUUUUACUCUACAUGUUGAUAGAUGGUGGUGUACCAGCUCCAGAAGAAAAGAAAGAAAAUCUCUCACUCUCUCCCUCUCUGCCGAAACCAGCAACCAAAACAGAGCAUUCCUUCUCCAAGCUUGUUCUCGCUCCACAGGCCUUUGAAUCGACCCAGACCACGUUCCACAGCUUCGCCUCUUCCUUUCGCAGCUGCCGGUAACAGCCUUUCGCCGUCUCGUGGGCCGUACACGGCGGUGGAGCACGAGGCCGGUUUACCCCCGUUUUGAUUUCAAGCUUGAUAUCUCAAGUUACCAUUCACCACUCCUCACCAAACUCCAUCCACAAGCUCACCUCAACGUCCUGAAGCUCCCAGAAGUGGCCUUGCACGGCGGCGCUACUCGUGGUGGCGGCUGGAAGCCAGACCCGAUCAAAUCGAAAACCAAAGCUUCGAUCGACAUAUCUCGCGCUACAGGAUGUUGUUUUGAGUGUUUCUUGAACUGGUGAACUCAGAGUGAGGAUCUGAACAACUUUCCAGAAGGUAUCGAGGCCUGAAGUUGCAGUUUUUACGUCGAACUAGGAGCUCACCGGUUUCUGGGUUUUUUCCGGCCAACCCGACUGGUUUGAGGUGAUCGACAGUUUGAUUUGGUGGACGAUUCGUGAAAGUGUAUUUUGAGCUGUUAAGAAGACGCAGCGGGAAUUUAGAGCGGGAAAUCCUACAGGUCAGGAGAACCAGGACGGUGAUCGGGCUGCUUAGAGUAGUGUUAUGUGAAUUACAGCAUUAUAUUGUGAGGUUUGUUAUGCUCAUUUAGAGCUUUGCAAUUUUACUUUGUAAGAGUGAAUUGUAAUAAUUAACUCGAGGUUUUCGAGUUUUUGUGUUGAGUGGCGAGUGGUGUGUUUGUUUGUGAGAAAAAAAUUCAGAACGUUAUUUGUAUUAAUUGUUUAUUCAUGUUUCGGAUUUGAAUUGGUUAUUCAAAAUUCGGGGCGUGACAUGAU